CGUUCCAUGGCCAAACUGGUGAAGGCAUCGCCGAUUAUAGGCGAAGAUGCGGGUUCGAGUCCAGCUGGAACGG
rfam:Operophtera brumata OBRT01_Sc02522, whole genome shotgun sequence.